GCGGCGGCUGCGCGUGCGUAUUGCGCGUUCGCUGAGGCGGUGUGGUUGAGCGGAGCAUGCGCAGGUGUCCCGUCCGAGCUGAAGCGGUCGGUAUGGCUGCCAGCGCCAAGUCGUUCCUGUCCGAUGCGGGCUAUGGGGAGCAGGAGCUGGACGCGAAUUCUGCUCUCAUGGAAGUCGACAAAGUUCCUGUCCUUCACCUCUUGGGGAGUUUACUUACUGGAUGCACUUCCUGGCCUUGUGUUUGACGCAGCAAAAGAAGAUGUGGCACUGCGGACGAGCAUACCGAGGAAGCUGCUUCUGGUGGAUGUAGCUGACUCAAGGAGAAAGCUGAGCAACCUUGGAUGCUGAGCUCUAAUUGGUGAGUCUAGAGGUUACUACUGUUUACAAAGCUAAUGUUUAUAACUUGUUUGUUCUUGUAUUUGUAAAACUGCAUUUGUGUAUUUUGUAAUACUGUAUUUGUAAAAACACCG